rnacentral:rRNA from 1 species
GUGGGGAAUAUUGCGCAAUGGGCGAAAGCCUGACGCAGCGACGCCGCGUGAGCGAAGAAGGCCUUCGGGUCGUAAAGCUCAGUCAUUGGGGAUGACACGGACAGUACCCAAGGAGGAAGCCCCGGCUAACUACGUGCCAGCAGCCGCGGUAAUACGUAGGGGGCGAGCGUUGUCCGGAAUUACUGGGUGUAAAGGGCGUGUAGGCGGGGAUGCAAGUUACUGGUAAAAACCCGAGGCUCAACCACGGGCUUGCCGGUAAAACUGUAUCUCUUGAGUGUAGGAGAGGGAAGUGGAAUUCCCGGAGUAGCGGUGAAAUGCGUAGAUACCGGGAGGAACACCAGUGGCGAAGGCGGCUUCCUGGCCUACUACUGACGCUGAGGCGCGAAAGCUAGGGGAGCGAACGGGAUUAGAAACCCUAGUAGUCC